rnacentral:tRNA from 1 species
GCUCCCUUGGCGGAACUGGUAGACGCGCUGGACUUAAAAUCCGGUACUUGAAAGAUAGUGUGUGGGUUCGACCCCCACAGGGAGUA